GAUUAGCCUGCGUCCGAUUAGCUAGUUGGUAGGGUAAAGGCCUACCAAGGCUACGAUCGGUAGGUGGUCCGAGAGGAUGAUCACCCACAAUGGAACUGAGACACGGUCCAUACUCCUACGGGAGGCAGCAGUGGGGAAUUUUACGCAAUGGGGGAAACCCUGACGUAGCGACACCGCGUGAGCGAAGAAGCCUUUUGGGGUGUAAAGCUCUGUCAGCUGGGAAGAAAAAAAUGACGGUACCAGCAGAGGAAGCAUCGGCUAACUACGUGCCAGCAGCCGCGGUAAGACGUAGGAUGCAAGCGUUGUCCGGAUUUAUUGGGCGUAAAGAGUUCGUAGGCGGUUUGUUAAGUCUGAUGUUAAAUAUCGGGGCUCAACCCCGGGACUGCAUUGGAUACUGGCAGACUUGAGUGCGGUAGAGGUAAGUGGAAUUUCUGGUGUAGCGGUGAAAUGCGUAGAUAUCAGAAAGAACACCAGUGGCGUAGGCGACUUACUGGGCCGUAACUGACGCUGAGGAACGAAAGCCAGGGGAGCAAAUGGGAUUAGAUACCCCAGUAGUCCUGGCUGUAAACGAUGUCAACUAGCUGUUGG
rnacentral:rRNA from 1 species